rnacentral:rRNA from 1 species
UACAGAGGGGGCAAGCGUUGUUCGGAAUUACUGGGCGUAAAGGGCGCGUAGGCGGCCUGCUAAGUCGAACGUGAAAUCCCCGGGCUCAACCCGGGAACUGCGUCCGAUACUGGUUGGCUUGAAUCCGGGAGAGGGAUGCGGAAUUCCAGGUGUAGCGGUGAAAUGCGUAGAUAUCUGGAGGAACACCGGUGGCGAAGGCGGCAUCCUGGACCGGCAUUGACGCUGAGGCGCGAAAGCCAGGGGAGCAAAGCGGG